UAACAUUAAAAAAACACUUGAUGGGAGGAAACUCAUUGUUUAAAUUUAUGCACUUUAAAUUUCAAUAAUUUUAUUUUUUAUUACUAAUUUACUUUUUUCAAGUUACAUGUGUUAUGGAGCUACAAUGGAGGCACUUUGGUAAGAAAAUCUGCACACACACACUUGGUCAUGAACACCAAUGUAUUGAGCAAAAUAAACCACGCUUAGCACGUUGCCUUGAGCAUUGAGCACAACCCUUGCAUUGAGUGCACGAAGGGGGUUUGGUGAUUAAAUAGCCUCUAUAACUUGUAUACUAAGCCAAUUUCACCGCCCUCAGACCCUCUCCUAUGCUAAGGGAUGUAUGCUCCGCUGAGCGCAUUGCUUGUGAAGUUGAGCGUAAACCCUACGAUAAGCGUAUUGGAUAAGUGCCAAACAUACCUAAAUUUCAU
rnacentral:lncRNA from 1 species